rnacentral:rRNA from 1 species
GUUGACCCUCCUCUUACCCUGCAUGUGCCUGAUCUCAUCUGAUGAAGCUAAGCAGGGUCAGGCCUGGUUAGCACUUCGACGGAGAGUUAAUU